UACGUAGGGUGCAAGCGUUGUCCGGAAUCAUUGGGCGUAAAGCGCGCGUAGGUGGCUUCGUAAGUCCGUUGUGAAAGUCAAAGGCUCAACCUUUGAAUGCCGAUGGAUACUGCGAAGCUAGAGUACGGAAGAGGCGAGUGGAAUUCCUGGUGUAGCGGUGAAAUGCGCAGAUAUCAGGAAGAACACCCGUGGCGAAGGCGGCUCUCUGGGACGGUACUGACGCUGAGACGCGAAAGCCAGGGGAGCAAACGGG
rnacentral:rRNA from 1 species